UUGCCUACGGGGGGCAGCAGUGAGGAAUAUUGGUCAAUGGGCGGGAGCCUGAACCAGCCAAGUCGCGUGAGGGAAGACGGUCCUAUGGAUUGUAAACCUCUUUAGGCGGGGAGCAAUGCCGGGCACGCGUGUCCGGAGGGAGAGUACCCGCAGAAUAAGCAUCGGCUAACUCCGUGCCAGCAGCCGCGGUAAUACGGAGGAUGCGAGCGUUAUCCGGAUUUAUUGGGUUUAAAGGGUGCGUAGGCGGGCUGUUAAGUCAGCGGUCAAAUGUCGGGGCUCAACCCCGGCCUGCCGUUGAAACUGGG
rnacentral:rRNA from 1 species